GAUCCUGGCUCAGGAUGAACGCUAGCUACAGGCUUAACACAUGCAAGUCGAGGGGAAACGGACAUCGAAAGCUUGCUUUUGAUGGGCGUCGACCGGCGCACGGGUGAGUAACGCGUAUCCAACCUGCCCACCACUUGGGGAUAACCUUGCGAAAGUAAGACUAAUACCCAAUGACGUCUCUAGAAGACAUCUGAAAGAGAUUUAAAGAUUUAUACGGUGAUGGAUGGGGAUGCGUCUGAUUAG
rnacentral:rRNA from 1 species